rnacentral:rRNA from 1 species
AAAGCGCACGCAGGCGGUUUGUUAAGUUAGAUGUGAAAUCCCCGGGCUUAACCUGGGAACUGCAUUUAAAACUGGCAAGCUAGAGUCUUGUAGAGGGGGGUAGAAUUCCAUGUGUAGCGGUGAAAUGCGUAGAGAUGUGGAGGAAUACCGGUGGCGAAGGCGGCCCCCUGGACAAAGACUGACGCUCAGGUGCGAAAGCGUGGGGAGCAAACAGGAUUAGAUACCCUGGU